UCAUCAACUACAUCAUUAGAAACUAAUAUUUUGUGAUUGUGUUGUUUUCACAUUUGUAGGAAAUGCCUCAUGUCUUCUGAAAGCCUAAACACUGUCAUGCAAAUCAAACCCCUUCAUAAAUGAUUAGAGGUGUUCUCAGGAGAAGUGAGGGUCUGGGUUCAGGUUCAGACCAAACUAUGUUCUCUACACUUCUACUCUUGCUGUUAACAGCUACAUCUGGUAUUAAAUGUAUUGAACUGGUUCAGCCUGCAGUCAUGCUGGUUAAGCCUGGAGAAUCAUUUUCAGUCCCCUGUAAGAUCACUGGAUACUCAGCCACUAGUCAAUGUACUAACUGGAUACGACAAUCAGGACAAAAACUGGAAUUGAUCGGCUGGUACUGCAGCUCCAGUGAUACUGGCAGCAGUGAUUCACUAAAGAACAAGAUCCGUUUCUCAGCUGAUGCCUCCACCAACACUGUGACUUUACACGGGCAAAACUUUCAGACUGAAGACACAGCUGUGUAUUACUGCGCUCGUAACUCACAGUGAGACAGAUCAACAAAGACGCUGUACAAAAACAUCCAGUACAGAAGUCUGUUAGAGGCAGAAACUGUGUCUUACUUCAAUGUUUCACCUUCUGAGUUUCUCAGAAGAGUGAGAAGAUGAUAUCAGCUAACUUUCUCUCAGUUGAUUGGAUGAGAUUGUAGUGUGAAAUUUUGGAACUACAAUUAGAUGUUAAAUGUAUAACUUUUAAAUCUACUAAAGAAACCCUGACAUCACAUCAUCACAUUAUAUUUGAGUUAUGAGUAAGAUUGAUCAGGCCAUAUUACUUUUCUGAAGUCCACUAAAUAAUUGUUCCUUGUCAUAGGUUAUAUUUUGAUUCAUAUUAAAAUUGUUAAACAGAAUUUAUUCUUUUAAAGUGUCAUAUAAAUAAAAUUAUUAACAUUUAUUUUUAUUUAGAACUUUACCUUGCUGUGGCUCUUGAGGUUUUAUGAAGCUUGAAUGUCUUUUUAUUGGACUUUUUGUUUACUGAAAGCUCUCACUAUGUUCAUUAUAACUUUGCAUAAGAAACGUGCUGCUAUCUAGCAGUUGAUGUUCACAAAAGACAUCUUCUGGUUUCUUCAAAAAGAAUUUAGGAAAAAGAGAAGAUGUUUUAAAUGAUUCAAUUAUUCACAAAGAUUUAAAACAGACAAGUUGUUGGCAUGAGCUCCUGACAGGUUGAGUCAGCUGUAAUAUGUGACCUGAAAUAUUUCUAUAAUUAAAUUCAGUUUCAAACAAAUCACAGUUUCUUAAGAAAGAAGAAUGUUUUUCUGGAUGUUACAGUGAUCCUUGUCCUACAGUGAAUGCUUUUAUUCUUUAAGAAAAAAAUAAA